GAUGAACGCUGGCGGCAUGCCUAACACAUGCAAGUCGAACGGCCAGACCGUAAGCUUUUGCUCUUCCCGGUUGCGAGGGGCGGACGGGUGACGCGUGAAUCGGACUCUUCUUUUUCGGGGAGGAUCACGUCAGAAAGCUUACAAUAAUACAGCAUACGCUGUACCGGUGAGUGCAGUGGAUCUUCGCAGCUUUCGCGAUUGUAUUAGCUGAUGCCGGGUUCGAUUGUUGGGUUGGUAACGUCCCACCCAGUCGACGAUACGAAGCCUACCCGAGCGGCGGAUCAGCCACACUGGAACUGAGACACGGUCAAGACUCCUACGGGAGGCAGCAGUGGGGAAUCUUCGACAAUGGGCGAAAGCAUGACCCAGCCAGACCGCGUGGGUGAUGAAGGCCUUCGGUUCGUAAAGCCCUUUUGUUGGGAAAGAACAGAAGCAGAUUUAGACCUAGCGGUUCUGACGGUACCCAAUGAAUAAGCACCGGCUAACUACGUG
rnacentral:rRNA from 1 species